GCAUGGGUUUGGGUUGAUGGCAGGCCGGUUCCCCUGGGUCUCUCAUAGGUCCCCCAGGCCAGAGCAAGCUGUGGUCUCAAACCAUUGCUUGGCCUCUGCCCGUAGGCUGCAGGCACUGAAGCAGGUUGCACAGUG
rnacentral:snoRNA from 1 species